rnacentral:rRNA from 1 species
UACGUAGGGUGCAAGCGUUGUCCGGAAUUAUUGGGCGUAAAGAGCUCGUAGGCGGUUUGUCGCGUCUGCCGUGAAAGUCCGGGGCUCAACUCCGGAUCUGCGGUGGGUACGGGCGGACUUGAGUACUGCAGGGGAGACUGGAAUUCCUGGUGUAGCGGUGAAAUGCGCAGAUAUCAGGAGGAACACCGGUGGCGAAGGCGGGUCUCUGGGCAGUAACUGACGCUGAGGAGCGAAAAGCGUGGGGGAGCAAAACAGG